GGAUGGGCCUUUCAAGCCUAAUUAAAUUAAAGAAUGGGCCUUUCAGUGUAUAAUCAACUAGGCUUAAUAAGUAGAUGGGCCUAUUAAUGUAUCAGAUCCAACCCCUCUUCUCUCUUCCUCGCCAAUCGCUGGCUUCCUUCAACGAAGAAACCGCCAGCAAGUUGCUUACCCAGGAGGUCUGCAAUUUUCUCUAGCCUUCCUUCAUUUUCAUCUCUUAUUCCCCCGAUCCCUUCUACUGUUUAAUAUAAUAAAGGUGGAAGGUGGAGUUCUACUUCAGCGACAGCAAUCUUCCCAGAGAUGAAUUCCUCAACCAGGGCAGAGAUGCCGGCGCCAAGUUAGUACUAAUACCAAAGAUUGAUUUUGACUGUCAACUCGGAAAAUUAGGCUCAAGUCCUAGACAUAAUGAGUCAUUUUGUUAUUUGUUUUGUGUCACCAAAGUGCUUCUUGAUUGAUGAAAUGCUAGUUGGCUCAUAUGUAUUGCUACGAAUUCCACAGAGGUCAGCUUGUCAAAUUCACAUUGAAAUGGAUAGCCAUUGGAGAAAAAGUAAUGAUCAAAGAGAAAAGGAAGAUAAAAAGACAGGCAUUGUGGAGAGAUUGGAAGAAAAUGAUAGAAAGAAGGAAACUGGAGAUUCCCGCACAGAUAAAUCAUGUGCUAGGAGAGAAAUGAUAAUCAUCUUGUGGUUCCCCCAUGGAACAGCAGUGAUUCUGUUGGCUCUGAGGUUCUCAAGGAUGUAUUUCAAGAUUUGGCAGCGUUAAGGUAAAUUGCAACUUGCAACCUUUGUCCAACCACCAAUCCCCUAAAAAGUGAUUGUUGAGCGAUUAUAUUUUCAUGUGCUUGGUGUUUCGCUAAAAAAGUGAUUGUUGAGCAAUUAUAUUUUCCUGUGCUUGGUGUUUGUGUUAUGUCAUACUUUUCUCUCUACCUUUUAUAUAUAUGUUCACCUGAUAAUGAAGUCUUCUGGUGAUUAGACUGGCAAACGGUAUUGUUAAGUUAUGGGUUAACUUAAAGUUCUAA